GCCUUCUUGGUGUAGUGGUCAGCACGCUCGACUCGUAACCGAGAGGUCCGUGGUUCGAUUCCCGAGGAAGGGG
rnacentral:tRNA from 1 species